GGGGAUGUAGCUCAGUGGUGCAGUGCCUGCCUGGUAAGCAUGAGGCCCUGAGUUCGAUUUCUGGUACCCUUA
rfam:Heterocephalus glaber contig45885, whole genome shotgun sequence.